CGGGGUGCAGCAGGCGCGAAAACUCCACAAUGUACGGAAGUACGAUGGGGUUAUCUCGAGUGCAGUCCGAUAAGGGCUGCUUUUCCAUAGAGUAAUAUCCUGUGGGAAUAAGAGGGGGGCAAGACUGGUGUCAGCCGCCGCGGUAACACCAGCCCCUCGAGUGGUGGGGACUAUUAUUUGGCCUAAAGCGUCCGUAGCUGGCUGUAUCCGUCCCCCGUUAAAUCCAGCGUCCUAAGCGUUGGACUGCGGGUGAUACCAUACAGCUAGAGGGUGGGAUAGGUGAGCGGUAUUUCUGGGGUAGGGGCGAAAUCCUUUGAUCCCAGGAGGACCACCAGUGGCGAAGGCUGCUCACUAGAACACGCCUGACGGUCAGGGACGAAAGCUGGGGCAGCGAACCGGAUUAGAUACCCGGGUAGUCCCAGCUGUAAACGAUGCUAGCUAGGUGUUGGGUCGGCCACGUGCCGCCCCAGUGCCGCAGGGAAGCCGUUAAGCUAGCCGCCUGGGGAGUACGGCCGCAAGGCUGAAACUUAAAGGAAUUGGCGGG
rnacentral:rRNA from 1 species